AUGGGCGGCAUGGGCUUCAGAGAUAUGAGAGCUUUCAACCAGGCUCUUCUUGAUAAACAAGCUUGGAGUCUUAUUGAAACACCUGAUAGUUUGUGUGCUAGACUGCUGAAAGCCAAGUACUUUCCUGCGGGCCAUCUUCUUGAUACAGUAUUCACAGGUAAUGGCUCGGCGGUGUGGAAGGGAAUUUUGCAUGGGCUUGAGCUGUUAAAGAAGGGUAUAAUUUGGCGCGUCGGGAACGGAACGCUUAUCAGGACCUGGAGAGAUCCUUGGAUCCCACGACCGUACUCUUACAGACCUAUCACCCCGAAGCGCAAU
rnacentral:rRNA from 1 species